rnacentral:rRNA from 1 species
CAGCAGCCGCGGGAAUACGAGGGGGGCAAGCGUUGUUCGGAAUUAUUGGGCGUAAAGGGUGCGUAGGCGGUUUGACAAGUCUUGUGUGAAAUCUAUGGGCUCAACCCAUAGUCUGCACGGGAAACUGUCGGGCCUGAGAAUGGGAGAGGUGAGUGGAAUUCCCAGUGUAGAGGUGAAAUUCGUAGAUAUCAGGAGGAACACCUGUGGCGAAAGCGGCUCACUGGACCAUAACUGACGCGGAGGCACGAAAGCUAGGGGAGCAAACAGGAUUAGAUACCCCGGUAGUCCCUGUCUCUUAUAC